AGAACGAACGCUGGCGGCAUGCCUAACACAUGCAAGUCGAACGCUUCACCGGUUUCGGCCGGUGGGGAGUGGCGCACGGGUGAGUAGCGCGUGGGAACCUGCCCUGUUGUGGGGGAUAACCGAGGGAAACUUCGGCUAAUACCGCAUAAGCCGGUUGUCUUGAAAGAGAUGGCCGGGAAAGAUUUAUCGCGACAGGAGGGGCCCGCGUCGGAUUAGGUAGUUGGUGGGGUAACGGCCCACCAAGCCUGUGAUCCGUAGCUGGUCUGAGAGGAUGAUCAGCCACACUGGGACUGAGACACGGCCCAGACUCCUACGGGAGGCAGCAGUGGGGAAUAUUGGACAAUGGGGGCAACCCUGAUCCAGCAAUGCCGCGUGAGUGAUGAAGGCCUUAGGGUUGUAAAGCUCUUUCGCCCGCGACGAUGAUGACGGUAGCGGAGAAGAAGCCCCGGCUAACUUCGCGCCAGCAGCCGC
rnacentral:rRNA from 1 species